rnacentral:lncRNA from 1 species
GAAAUUUUGAAAUAGCUUGCAAGGCUAAGAGAAGCAAAAGCAAGGAAAGACCAUAGUCAAGAUGGAUGGUGCAAUUAAAGAAACUAAUAGGAUGUUGUUGGAAGAGCUGCAAGCUAUUGUCAGGGGCAGGUCAACCGUAUCUGCAUUUCUGUUCGUCUGUGUGUACCUUUUUGGGGGGGAUCCAAACUGUUAACACAGCUUACUUUUUAUUCCUAAGGAACGAGAACGGGAGCGGGAGCGGGAGAACAGACAGCGGGAGCGGGAACGGGAGCGGGAGCGUGAACGGGAGCGGGAGCGGCGGCAGAGAGAACGGGAGCGAGAGAGGGAACGCGAGCGGGACAAAGAGCGCCAGAGGAGGAAAGAGGAGUGGGAAAGAGAGAAGGAGCGCAUCAAAAGAGACGAGAAGGACCGGCAGCACAGAGACAGAGACCGGGACAGAGAGAGAGAGCGGGACAAGGAGAAAGAGAAACCAAAACCUCGAUCGCCGCAACCACCCAGCCGCCAGCCUGAGCCACCAAAGAAAGAGAAGGAGGCUGCCACAACCACCCCUUCUCAAUCCAAGAGAGCCGAUGAGUGGAAAGACCCUUGGCGCCGGUCCAAAUCCCCCAAAAAGAAGCACGGCUUGUCGGUUUCGCCCAGCCACGCCCGAAGGCGCCGGAAAACCUCGGCCUCCUCAGCCUCUGGCUCAGGUUCUUCAAGGUCAUCGUCUCGUUCCUCCUCCUACUCUGGAUCUGGUUCUUCACGGUCGCGGUCUCGAUCUUCCUCGUACAGCUCCUACUCUAGUCGCUCUUCCAGGCACAGCUCCUUCUCAGGCAGUCGCUCCAGGUCACGGUCCUUUUCAUCUUCUCCAUCUCCUUCCCCAACACCAUCUCCACACAAACCUCUUUCCAAAGCUAAAGGGGAGCCUGCACCACCAGCUGGAAAGGGCGAGAAGCCCGCAAAGAAGCUGCCCGUCCCCCCAGCGCCUCCUGCAGUGA